rnacentral:rRNA from 1 species
AAAGAUUAAGCCAUGCAAGUCUAAGUUUAAGCAAAAUAAACGGCGAAACUGCGAAUGGCUCAUUAAAUCAGUUAUCGUAUAUUUGAUAGUACCUACUACAUGGAUAACCGUGGUAAUUCUAGAGCUAAUACAUGCUUAAAAUCCCGACUUCGGAAGGGAUGUAUUUAUUAGAUUAAAAACCAAUGCCCUUCGGGGCUCCCUGGUGAUUCAUAAUAACUUCUCGAAUCGCAUGGCCUUGCGCCGGCGAUGGUUCAUUCAAAUUUCUGCCCUAUCAACUUUCGACGGCUGGGUCUUGGCCAGCCGUGGUGACAACGGGUAACGGGGAAU